GAUGAACGCUGGCGGCGUGCUUAACACAUGCAAGUCGAACGAAGCGCUUAAACGGAUUUCUUCGGAUUGAAGUUUUUGCGACUGAGUGGCGGACGGGUGAGUAACGCGUGGGUAACCUGCCUCAUACAGGGGGAUAACAGUUAGAAAUGACUGCUAAUACCGCAUAAGCGCACAGUGCUGCAUGGCACAGUGUGAAAAACUCCGGUGGUAUGAGAUGGACCCGCGUCUGAUUAGCUAGUUGGUGGGGUAACGGCUCACCAAGGCUUCGAUACAUAGCCGACCUGAGAGGGUGAUCGGCCACACUGGGACUGAGACACGGCCCAG
rnacentral:rRNA from 1 species